AGUGUGAUUGCUGGGUCAUAUGGUAAGAGUAUAUUUAGUUUUGUAAGAAACCCCAAAACUGUCUUCCAAAAUGGCUGUACCAUUUUUCAUUUCCACCAGCAAU
rnacentral:pre_miRNA from 1 species